rnacentral:misc_RNA from 1 species
AAAAUAAUCCUACCCUUUGUGAAUUUUGUUUGUUUGAAUAAUUUUUUUUUUUAAAAAAUUAUCGGAGUCUUUCCCUUUAGAGUUUGCUUUUGAGUUUGUAAAAGAAUUCGAAAACAUCUAAAGGGGAUGGUCAAUAAUUUUUUUUGAAAAAAGACAUUUUUUAAAAUUAAACUUUUUGUAUUCAUUUGUCUAAAAAUUAUUUUUAUAAUAUAAAAACAACUUUUGACAAUGGAUCUCUUGGUUCUCGCAACGAUGAAGAACGCAGCAAAAUGCGAUAAGUAGUGUGAAUUGCAGAAUACGUGAAUCAUCGAAUCUUUGAACGCAUAUUGCACUUUUUUAGUUUACUAAAAAAGUAUGUCUGUUUGAGUAUCAGUAAAAUAUUCUCAUAAAAAUCAUUGUGUAUUUUUAUGGUUAUGAGUGUUUUACAACGAUACAAGUUGUUUCACUUUAAAUUUUUUUUAAUAUUGAAAUUUUUCUAAUUUUAAUAAUUAAAAUUGGAUAAAAUUUUCCCGUCAAAAGGAAUAACCUAAACAAUUUUAAAUGAUUAAUUUUAGCAAAAUUUUCGUAAAAAAGGGAAAAUUUUUAUUAAAAUAACUUGAUCUCAAAUCAGAUAAGAGUACCCGCUGAACUUAAGCAUAUCAAUAAGCGGAGGAAAAGAAACUAACAAGGAUUCCCUUAGUAACGGCGAGUGAAGCGGGAAGAGCUCAAAUUUGAAUCUUCAAGGUUUUACCUUGACGAAUUGUAGUUUAAAGAAGUGUUUUCUGCUGAAGUUUUGGUAAAGUUCUUUGGAAUAGGACAUCAUAGAGGGUGAGAAUCCCGUAUUUGACCAUUAUUUUCAGCUUUGUGAUACACUUUCAAAGAGUCGGAUUGUUUGGGAAUGCAGUCCAAAAUGGGUGGUAAAUUUCAUCUAAAGCUAAAUAUUGGCGAGAGACCGAUAGCGAACAAGUACCGUGAGGGAAAGAUGAAAAGAACUUUGAAAAGAGAGUUAAACAGUACGUGAAAUUGUCAAAAGGGAAGCGUAUGACACCAGUGUUGUUUUCUCGAAAUCAAUUAAAAAUGGCUCGAUUUUGUAUUGCUGAGACCUUAAAAGCUCACUGUACAUUUUUCGUGUCUUUUUUAAUGCACUUUUCGUUUAACAAGUCAACAUCAGUUUCUUUUGUUGUAAAAGGGUCAUUGGAAGGUGGCUUUCUUUUCGGAGAAAGUGUUUAUAGCCUUUGGCCUCUGCAAUCGGAGAGACUGAGGUCUGCAGCGUAGACUCUUCGGGGUUAGAUACAUUUGUGCUAAGUUAUAGCUUUUUAUAGACAACUUGUUGACUAUAAUUAGUCUUGUAGCUUACUCGCUUAUGCUAUUUUACCUACGCUUAGGAUG